GUCCCUCAAUGGCCUGUGUAUGAUGGCUUGGUCACCAGCCUGGUCCUAUUGGGAGAUGGUGGAACCAUUAAGAGGUAGAGUCUAGCAGGAGGAAGUUAGGUCUUUGAGGGCAUGAGCAAAACUUUCCUCUCUUUGUCUUCCCAACCAUCAGGAAAUUGUUUUGCUCCACCACAAACUACCUCCAUGAUUGGCUGCUUCCCCAGAGGACUCAAAAACAACAACAAAAAAACAGUGUGUCCACCCACUCGUGUACUGGAGCUUUUUGUCAUUGUAAGCUGAUGGUUUCAGGUCUUUAUUCAGAAAGCUAAGUAACACUGUUGGAAUGUAACUUCCAGGCUGUUUUGUGUUUGUGUGUUUUGAUGUUACAGAUCCCAGUGUCAACCGAUAUCACGUGCAGUGGCUUCCGGAAGUCUGUGCUCACAACAGGACAGCUGGAGCGGAGACAUCCUUGGGCAUGACCCACGAAAAUUAUAUAAUUCCUCAAGACCUGUCAUUCUCCUACAAAUAUAAGGUGACUGUCCAAUCAAUAGGGCCAAAGGGUCUCUCCAAGGCAGAAGCCACUUUCUUUACUACGCCACCAUGCUCCACUUUGAAGGGGAAAAGCCACAAGCACAUCAGUUGUCCUGGGGAGACAGGUCACAUUUUCUCCAAAAUGCUUGCCAACCCAGAGAACCUUUCUGCUUCCCUCAUUGUCCAAGACGUGAACAUCACUGGACACUCUUCUUGGAAGAUAAGCAAGCCCAAUCUCUAUCAGCCCAUGACUGAGUUCCAGGUGACUUGGGCUGAGGUCACGACAGAGAGCAGACAGAACAGUUUGCCCAACAGCAUCAUCUCCCAGUCCCAAAUCCUGCCAUUGGUAGGUGGAACUUCCUUCCUCCUGCCCUGUCCUGGGGACCCAUGGCUUGCUUUCAGGGGCCAUUGGCCAUUGGCCAUUUCAGAAGCUCUCUCAGUCUCCAUGUGUGCUGUGUGAGUUGAG
rnacentral:lncRNA from 1 species